UGUUCGUUCAGGACAAGAGAAAGCGUGAACCAAGUCAGAUCUGGAAGACCGCUGCGUUCAAGGUGAAAGCUGUGCGCUUCAUGGCCCCGG
rnacentral:SRP_RNA from 1 species